rnacentral:lncRNA from 10 species
AAUAGAACAUUUUGUGAAAGAGUGUAUAUGAAAAAGUUACUUCUUCCUUGAAUGUGUAAUAGAAUUCACCAGUGGAACCACCAGGGAUUGACAAUUUCUUUAUGGGGUGGACCUUCCCACGAGAUCUGGAGUUAUUUCCCUGAACCUUGAGACAACCCGAAUUAAGUCCACUCUGGAGCCUGCCCUGUGUGCUCUUUUUCUCUGACUUCAGCAACUGCUAGAUCAACAUGCACAUCCUAUUUUUAUUACGCACACUUCAGCCCCCAGCUCACUGCCUGGCCCUUUGGCUUAUGGCAAUAAUCAAGCAGACCUCCAAGUUAUGACAUCACUGCUUGACCAAGCCACUGAAUCACAUCAAUUCUUCACCGAAACUAGAGAAACUUACUGAACAAUUUCAACUUACUCAAAGACUAGCUAAACAAAUUAUCCUGCAAUGCCCAGAUUGCCAGCUCACAGG